AGAGUUUGAUUCUGGCUCAGAACGAACGCUGGCGGCGUGGAUAAGACAUGCAAGUCGAACGGGAGAAUUGCUAGCUUGCUAAUAAUUCUCUAGUGGCGCACGGGUGAGUAACACGUGAGUAACCUGCCUCUUAGUGGGGGAUAGCCCUGGGAAACCGGGAUUAAUACCGCAUACGAUUGAAAGAUCAAAGCAGCAAUGCGCUAGGAGAUGGGCUCGCGGCCUAUUAGUUAGUUGGUGAGGUAACGGCUCACCAAGGCGAUGACGGGUAGCCGGUCUGAGAGGAUGUCCGGCCACACUGGAACUGAGACACGGUCCAGACACCUACGGGUGGCAGCAGUCGAGAAUCAUUCACAAUGGGGGCAACCCUGAUGGUGCGACGCCGCGUGGGGGAAUGAAGGUCUUCGGAUUGUAAACCCCUGUCAUGUGGGAGCAAAUUAAAAAGAUAGUACCACAAGAGGAAGAGACGGCUAACUCUGUGCCAGCAGCCGCGGUAAUACAGAGGUCUCAAGCGUUGUUCGGAAUCACUGGGCGUAAAGCGUGCGUAGGCUGUUUCGUAAGUCGUGUGUGAAAGGCAGGGGCUCAACCCCUGGAUUGCACAUGAUACUGCGAGACUAGAGUAAUGGAGGGGGAACCGGAAUUCUCGGUGUAGCAGUGAAAUGCGUAGAUAUCGAGAGGAACACUCGUGGCGAAGGCGGGUUCCUGGACAUUAACUGACGCUGAGGCACGAAGGCCAGGGGAGCGAAAGGGAUUAGAUACCCCUGUAGUCCUGGCAGUAAACGGUGCACGCUUGGUGUGCGGGGAAUCGACCCCCUGCGUGCCGGAGCUAACGCGUUAAGCGUGCCGCCUGGGGAGUACGGUCGCAAGAUUAAAACUCAAAGAAAUUGACGGGGACCCGCACAAGCGG
rnacentral:rRNA from 1 species